GACAGAGGGUGCGAACGUUGCUCGGAAUUACUGGGCGUAAAGCGCGUGCAGGUGGUCUUCCACGUCCGGUGUGAAAGCCCCCGGCUCAACUGGGGAGGGUCAUUCGAUACUGAUCGACUCGAAGGCAGGAGAGGGUAGUGGAAUUCCCGGUGUAGUGGUGAAAUGCGUAGAUAUCGGGAGGAACACCAGUGGCGAAGGCGACUACCUGGCCUGUUCUUGACGCUGAGGCGCGAAAGCUAGGGGAGCAAACGGG
rnacentral:rRNA from 1 species